rnacentral:piRNA from 1 species
UCAAAGGUCUGAUGGUACCGUCCAAUCUUGU